rnacentral:rRNA from 1 species
GACGACGGGUAGCCGGCCUGAGAGGGCGACCGGCCACACUGGGACUGAGACACGGCCCAGACUCCUACGGGAGGCAGCAGUGGGGAAUAUUGCACAAUGGGCGCAAGCCUGAUGCAGCGACGCCGCGUGAGGGAUGAAGGCCUUCGGGUUGUAAACCUCUUUCAGCAGGGAAGAAGCGCAAGUGACGGUACCUGCAGAAGAAGCGCCGGCUAACUACGUGCCAGCAGCCGCGGUAAUACGUAGGGCGCAAGCGUUGUCCGGAAUUAUUGGGCGUAAAGAGCUCGUAGGCGGUUUGUCGCGUCUGCUGUGAAAACUCGAGGCUCAACCUCGGGCUUGCAGUGGGUACGGGCAGACUAGAGUGCGGUAGGGGAGACUGGAAUUCCUGGUGUAGCGGUGGAAUGCGCAGAUAUCAGGAGGAACACCGAUGGCGAAGGCAGGUCUCUGGGCCGCAACUGACGCUGAGGAGCGAAAGCAUGGGGAGCGAACAGGAUUAGAUACCCUGGUAGUCCAUGCCGUAAACGUUGGGCACUAGGUGUGGGGCUCAUUCCACGAGUUCCGUGCCGCAGCAAACGCAUUAAGUGCCCCGCCUGGGGAGUACGGCCGCAAGGCUAAAACUCAAAGAAAUUGACGGGGGCCCGCACAAGCGGCGGAGCAUGCGGAUUAAUUCGAUGCAACGCGAAGAACCUUACCAAGGCUUGAC